UGGGGAAUAUUGCACAAUGGGCGCAAGCCUGAUGCAGCCAUGCCGCGUGUAUGAAGAAGGCCUUCGGGUUGUAAAGUACUUUCAGCGAGGAGGAAGGCGUUGUGGUUAAUAACCGCAGCGAUUGACGUUACUCGCAGAAGAAGCACCGGCUAACUCCGUGCCAGCAGCCGCGGUAAUACGGAGGGUGCAAGCGUUAAUCGGAAUUACUGGGCGUAAAGCGCACGCAGGCGGUUUGUCAAGUCGGAUGUGAAAUCCCCGGGCUCAACCUGGGAACUGCAUCCGAAACUGGCAGGCUAGAGUCGUGUAGAGGGGGGUAGAAUUCCAGGUGUAGCGGUGAAAUGCGUAGAGAUCUGGAGGAAUACCGGUGGCGAAGGCGGCCCCCUGGACAAAGACUGACGCUCAGGUGCGAAAGCGUGGGGAGCAAACA
rnacentral:rRNA from 1 species